GAUCCUCAUCAUCCUCUUCUGUGCACUAAUAUGUGCUCUAGCUCUCAACACAGCCAUCCGCUGCUUCUUACGCGGCCGCCAUCACCCACCAGACCGUCUUCCCCAAAAUCGACGAGAACUUGAUGAGCAGCGGAAACCCAACACUGAAGCAGGUGCAGCGCCAUUGGUGGUGGGUUUCCGCUGCUCAUCAAGUUCUCGUAAGCUGGGCGGAGAAGAGGCUGAGUGCGCCAUCUGCUUGUCGGAGUUCGUGGAGGGUGAAG
rnacentral:misc_RNA from 1 species